UACGAAGGGGGCUAGCGUUGCUCGGAAUUACUGGGCGUAAAGGGCGCGUAGGCGGCUCUGUUAGUCAGGCGUGAAAGUCCUGGGCUCAACCUGGGAACUGCGCUUGAUACGGCAGAGCUAGAGGAUGGAAGAGGCUCGCGGAAUUCCCAGUGUAGAGGUGAAAUUCGUAGAUAUUGGGAAGAACACCGGUGGCGAAGGCGGCGAGCUGGUCCAUUACUGACGCUGAGGCGCGACAGCGUGGGGAGCAAACAGG
rnacentral:rRNA from 1 species